AUUGAACGCUGGCGGCAGGCCUAACACAUGCAAGUCGAACGAGUGGCGGACGGGUGAGUAAUGUCUGGGAAACUGCCUGAUGGAGGGGGAUAACUACUGGAAACGGUAGCUAAUACCGCAUACUAUCAGAUGUGCCCAGAUGGGAUUAGCUAGUUGGCGGGGUAACGGCUCACCAAGGCGACGAUCCCUAGCUGGUCUGAGAGGAUGAGCAGCCACACGGGGACUGAGACACGGCCCAGACUCCUACGGGAGGCAGCAGUGGGGAAUAUUGGACAAUGGGGGCAACCCUGAUGCAGCCAUGCCGCGUGAAUGAAGAAGGCCGUCGGGUUGUAAAGUACUUGCAGGGGGGAGGCGUUAACCACAGAAGAAUCACCGGCUAACUCCGUGCCAGCCGCCGCGGUAAUUC
rnacentral:rRNA from 1 species